AAAAUUAGUGUGACAAGAAAAUUAAGUAACCCUCGAAAACAUGAACUCAAAGAAAAUAAAUAAAAGCUAUCGUUUUCAUCUGCCAAGUGCAGAAGGAUAAUACUGACUAGUACUUUUUCGAGAUCUACUUUCCUUAAGACCAUCAGAGUUCCCAAACAAGCCAUCAAACUUCAUGCUAAAAAUAUAUAUAUAAAGUAAACAGGAAUAAGCAUGUCUGUCAAACUUGACAGAAAUGGUCCAAUGAUUGGAGUGUUUCACAAUCUCAAAGAAAACAUGACCCGUAUUGCUGGAAUACAAUUAUAUUGCUUAAAGACCUUACUAGCUAGAUAUUUCAAUGUCCAUUUUUAGUCAACUACAGGGGAUUGAAUUAGCAAUUUAGCAUCUCUCAGUUCAAGAAGGAAUAUUUGAGUGAACCAUUUGACCAUACGGGCAUGCAGUCAGAUGGUUCCUAACCAACAUUCAAGUGUAAAGUGAAAUAAAUAUUGUGAAAACAAUAAAGCAUGGUAACAAUUCCUAGAACCAAUAAUGUAUCAAGUUGCCUACAACCCAUCAAAUAAUAUCAAUGAAACUUCACAAAAGCAUUGCAUUACAACAAAUACAACUCCCACCAACAUUGUAGAAACGAAUGUUGGCAAUUAAAGGAGCUAGAAAAAAAGAAACGUGUAAACACCUUAAAGAGGCAUUAUCAGUGA
rnacentral:misc_RNA from 1 species